UCCGCCUUCUUAAGGGCGCGCGGCCGGGCCGAGGCGCAGCUCGCGGACAGCUGUUCGCGUAAGACUCUGCUAACGGCCUUUGUGUUCCGUUCUUUUUCCUUUUUAUUUUUCAUUUUAAGUGGGGCAGCUGUAUUCAUUCUCUCCGAUCGCCCCCAUCCUUGCCUUCGGCGGGAUUCAGAAGUCAGUUUAUUUUACAGAUUUUAUCAUUACUGCAGGCGCGCGCGCGGGUUGUGUGUGUGUGGGGGGGGUUCCAUGUAAUUUAAUGUGGAACUUUUGAAACCUGCACACACGUGAACCGUAAGAGAAAGCUGCAGAGAUGCUGAGACAUUUACACACGCACGUGCACACACACUCCUCCGCGUCCGGGUCCCGGCCAGACCAUCGAAAGGUACGGCCCUUGCACCAGGGUCGUUUGGAAAUUGACAGAAAUCUCAUCAACAGGAUCAAUUUCUUAGGCAGUAAAAAAAAUAAUAACAGCCUUAAACCCGAGAGCCCUGGUGAACAGUUCCAUCAGGCCGCAGUCACAGCACGCGGAGAGACUCCCGUCGGGCGCGGUCCGCGCUCCGCCUGGCGCUCUGUGUGCGCUAAGUGUCCGAGCAGCCCCGCUGCCCCACGCCGGACUUCGCGAGCGACCUUAACGGUGGCGCAACGCAGCCUUCGGCCACCAGAGGCAACCGGCGUCAGCGGCUAGUCAAAAACUGGCGCUUUUUUCCUGCUUUCCGUGUAGAGACUAUCAACUCCAUCUGUCACAAAAUCAAGGCUAAAUCUCCCCAGAGGCGGAGGGAGCCGGGCUCCCGCGCGCUCAGAGCUGGGCUGGUUGCUCUCCCCCAAGGCCGAGGGGGUCUGGGAGGGCGGGAGUCAGAGCCGCAGCCACGGGGGUGUGUUGCUGCAGAAAGUGCCCCGUGCGUACGGAGGUGCCCAGCCUCGGGGCGCCAGGGCAGCGGGAACCCGGGCUCUGCGAGCUGCAGCGCAAAGCCGAACCUCGCAGAGCCAGGCUGAGAGGAAUUAAUUCUUGGGAACAGAGUUGAAGUGUGGCAGGCCCAUGUGGAAGGAGCUCCUAUUCACACAUGGAAGAGUUGUCCUUCCCACAAAGAAGACCUGGAGCCUUCCCCUGAACUCUAUCCUCUGUUGUUCACGAGGGCCAUCUCCAUAUCUUUGAGUUCUACUAAUUCUAAGAAAUGUCUUUCACAUCCACCUUUCCUGUCUUCUUACUUUCCUGGCUUUUUUGAAGUUUUUGUCAUUACUGAAUACUAGGUGUUCUCCAGCUGUUCCUCCAAACCAGAUGUCCUAAAGGAGAAAGCAUCUCAGAAGCACUUGAGAGUUUUUUUUCAAAAUAUAUAAGCUUGUACUAAUGCUGUUAUACUUGAAUUCUUCCCCAUGGACCAAAGAAUGUAUCAUUUGGGAAAAAUAUUUGUCUUAGUCACUUUCUUGUUGCUGGGACACAACACUUGACACCCACAAGUUAAAGGAGGAGAGGUUUAUUGUGGCUUACAGUUUGUGGAGGUCUCAGUCCAUAGUCACCUGGCUUCAAGGCAAGGUGACAUGGCAGAGGGCCAUCGCAGAGGAGAACAGUGGGCUUAUCCACUGAAAUGACAGAUGGAAAAGAUAAUGUAGUCCUUGGCCAGAGCCACCUUGAGAAUCGCUGUGCUAUAUAUACUUGCAAAAAGAAGUGUGAACACAGUUACUUCGUUUGGCUUUGGAGGUAUGUUAAGUUGUUAGGGGACCAAACCGUAAGGAUUCAGCAUGGUGUGAAGAUUAAGAAAAAUGUAAAAAGGCUUUAACUCUUCAGAGAAUGUUAUUAAUAACUCUGGGAUGCCAAAUGCCACACGGUCUUACCUUCAUGGGCUCACAGGCGUGCAGACAAAACAGCUGCCAGUACUGUCACGCCUGCUGUCCCAGGAGCAGAGCCCCCAGCUUUGGAAGUGGGAGAUUAGGGUCGCGGCUGGCUUUCAAGAUCUUAUAACACAGGGAAAUCCCCACAAAACCAGUGAGUGGUCCAGCUGGAAAAGAGGUAUCAGUGAAAUGGAGAUCGAAGUCCCACAGUGAGGUCACCGUAGAAGUUUCGAGGCAUCACACAAUUCUCCCCUCGGUGGCGUGCAGUUAGCCACCUAGAUUUCUAAGAAGAGGAAUUUUUCCAAGAGAAAAUUAUGUGGACAUCAGUCCUAGGCUUUUCAAUAACUAGAGCCGGUUCUAUGACGAGCUUUGGAGACGGUUUCCAAGCAAGCCCCAAUCUUGUUUCCAAACCUAUGAUCUCUCUCCUGGAAUUAAGAUGCAACUUUUAAAUUACCAUUUCAUAAAUCUGGGUAAACAGUUUUUUUUUUUUUUUGGAAGAAAACGACUGCCUAAAAAGUCUCUUUUCUCUUGCAGAGAGCUAAGUAAAGACAACAGUCAUAACAGUAACUAUCAACAACAGCGAAAAUACAUGAACAAGCUGGGAUGAAGUGUGUGUCUGGUUAAUACUUCUUAAACUGGGAGAACCAUUAGAAUAACAGAUCUUUAAUGCUGAAAAUUUAUGUCAUGAAAUGUUUUGGGAAAAGAAUUAUGAUCUUAUUGAUUGAAAAAGAUUACAAACCAUCUAAUUCUUUUUAAUGAAAUGUGUAUCCCAGGACUUUAUCAAACAUAUAAUUGGGGAGUUCACAUUCUUAUUUUUAAUCUGCUUUUGUAUUUACCUGCUCAUUUUUCACUGACUUUGGUUCAAUCUAAUCCAAGAAUUCCUUCUACAUGUGCCUGAAAAUGAGUUAUGAAUGAAACGAUUCCAUUUAACUAGGUUAAAACAGAAAACCAAAGAGUUAAUAUAAUGUAGAUUGUAGGCUUUAGUCUAUAAUAGUAUAUCAGUAGUGGUUAUCAGUUGUAACAAAUGCAGCUGGGCAUGGUGGAGCAUGCCUGUCAUCCCAGCCUUCAGGAGGCUGAGGCAGGAGAAUUGCUGACCUUGAACUCACAGCAAACCCUGUUUCAAGAAACAAAAAAUUGUUACAAAUGCAUCUCAUUAAUCAAAUACAAAAUAUACAUUAAGGAAACAGGGAGGACUAUGGGGUUAGGUUGGAAUACUCUGUACUUUCUAAUCUUUCAAUUUAGAGCUUUAUCAUUUAAAGUUUUCAGUUUUAAUAUUCCUUUUUUGCCCAUUAAAAAAUAAGGUAAAUCCAGGUGUGCUGUUUGAAACCAAAAGUUGGUCUCUCUGUGGUAUACAUCUCCCCAAGUGAUUAACUACAUAUAUUUACAUAGUCAUUUUUUGAAUUCACUUACCCACCCCAGAAAUAGUUGAGUGUCCACCUUGGGUCAAGCCUUCUGUCGCGCUUUGUUUUGAGCAGGAAAGUUUGCGAUAGGUAACUUUUUAUCAUAAGCUUUUACUUCAUGCGUAGACAUACAUUUAUUUACCAAAGCCAUUAACACAUUCUUUUCGGCUUCUGAUUUGUUUAAAUAAUUUAAAUUUAUUUAUUUCCGGAGGUCUUGUGUACAUAUAAAAAUAUAAGUGUCUUUAAAAAACAGCAGUAUAGUUGACAGUGUAUUUUGGAUACUGAUCCAUGUCACUUUAUAAAGAGCUGACAUAUUACUUGUUUGCUUAUCCUUUUUGGUGAGUGCACAGUAUUCCAUUUUAAUGUUUUAUAAGUGUGUUAGCUUUCCACGACAAAGUACCUGAGAAAACAGCUUAAAGGAAGGAAAGACUUAUUUUGGUUUAUGAUUUCAGUGCAUGGCUGGUUGUACCCAUUGCUUUUAGUCCUGCGGCAGGGAGGAAACAUCGUGGCAGAAUGGUAUGUCCAGGGAAAGCUCCUCGCCUCAUGAAAGCAGACAGAGAGAGAGAGAGAGAGGAAGAAGAGGAAGAUGAAGAAAGAGGAGGAAGGGGAGGAGGAGGGAGGGAGGGAGCACCAAC
rnacentral:lncRNA from 1 species